rnacentral:rRNA from 1 species
GAUGAACGCUGGCGGCGUGCCUAAUACAUGCAAGUCGAGCGAACAGACGAGGAGCUUGCUCCUCUGACGUUAGCGGCGGACGGUUGAGUAACACGUGGAUAACCUACCUAUAAGACUGGGAUAACUUCGGGAAACCGGAGCUAAUACCGGAUAAUAUAUUGAACCGCAUGGUUCAAUAGUGAAAAACGUUUUUGCUGUCACUUAUAGAUGGAUCCGCGCCGCAUUAGCUAGUUGGUAAGGUAACGGCUUACCAAGGCAACGAUGCGUAGCCGACCUGAGAGGGUGAUCGGCCACACUGGAACUGAGGCACGGUCCAGACUCCUACGGGAGGCAGCAGUAGGGAAUCUUCCGCAAUGGGCGAAAGCCUGACGGAGCAACGCCGCGUGAGUGAUGAAGGUCUUCGGAUCGUAAAACUCUGUUAUUAGGGAAGAACAAAUGUGUAAGUAACUAUGCACGUCUUGACGGUACCUAAUCAGAAAGCCACGGCUAACUACGUG